UGAUCUUGUGCAGUGAAGCAGAAAAUUGGCGCAAAUGUAACAAAAAAAUGUUGACAGUGUGCUGCAGCAAGCAGCAUUUAUUGAUGGUGAAAAAACAAAAUUAAAAAACUUCAAUGGAUAAAUUGCGACAAAGCGCCAAUAAGAAAUUAAAGCAUAAACAACAACAAACGCCGGCAAGUGAAGAAAUAAACAAAAAGUCUUGGAAUCAGAAAUCAAAUCAAAUCGAAUUGUUUCAACAGCUGAUGCUAAUCAACGGCAACCAUCAAAAUAUUUUGUCAUGUGUUGUGAGCGGAAAUGCCAAUUGAAGCUACCUUUAGUUAAUAAUGGAAUCUCGCCCCAUGAAGAUGCCCUGGCACCGAGUGGAACUCAACCUCUGAAUGCUAUGGUGACUCAAGAGAGCGUCUGUACCAUGAUUAUUCAUUUUUACAUAUAAGAGAUACUCUAACUUGAACAAUUAUAUGAGAUUAAUUCAUUC